UUUCAAUUAAUAAUUAUGAUAUAUAAAUUUGUGCCGUAGUUUAAAAGAGAACCGACCUGGAUAAGUCGAUUUUCGUUACAUAACUGCGUCUCGCAUUAUCGUUAAUUCGCAAGUUAUAUUACGAAGGCGUGGUAAUCGUAAUAGUCGUAUAAUAACACUGGUAUUACAUAAACAUGCGUCUGUUGUUUUGUAUCUGUCACGCUAUUAUGGUGCAAGAACACGCGAAUCGCUUAACGCGCAUUAAUUCCAUAUUAGCCUGUUUCAACAAGCCGACCUUUAAGCAGAAACUACUAUAAUAAACGCUAGAACCAGAGUGGUGAAAAUGACCAAUUCCUGGCAUAUCCUAUAUUAUUUCUGAUUAUUACGUCUACGAAAUUUGAUAAUUCAUUUUUAUAUCUCCAAGAUUUGAAAUCGAUUCGUCAGAAAUUUAAGCACUUCUGCUUAAAGAAUAGCACGAUUUACGGUUUAAGUAAAAUGUAACGACGCUUAAGAAGAUGGAAAAUCCACAAAUAAAAGAACUACAUACAUAUGUAUUAUGUCCAAGAACUUGACCAACUGGUGUGACGAGUUAAUUCUUUUUUGGUUAACAGGUUAAAAAGCUUAAAAAGAUCGACGUAACAACAUAGUCUCUGGCUAAAUUCAGAGAAAUCUUGUUACCACGAGAUUUAACAGCUGCGAAGUCCACGUGCUGGGGAGUAAAACGAGCAACGAGAAUAGCGCGACAUUGACCCAACGUCAGGGACUCCGUGCUUUUGGAUACAUUUCAAAACCAGAUUACAUAGGAACGAGAAUAACUACUGUUUCUUCUCUGACGACGUUUUAAUCGAUUUUUGUUGUAUCUUUCCUUGUAAUAUUCCUUCUGGAAGACUUUGCGACUUCUUUGAUGGUCGGACAAACUUUACCCGCGUACAACUAAGUACAAAAGAAGCUUCGAAGAAAUGUGAUAUUUGACAACACAAAAAUCGCUGUGAAACUAAUCGAUAUUAAUUGAUUGUCGAAAGUCCCAAGCAACUUUAUGUCGACGAUAAAUAAGAAGAAAGUAAUAAAGGAAACAUCUCUUAAAGUUCCUAAAUGAUAAAUUUUCUUCAACCAAUCCAGACGAAGCGAGGCAACAGUCUACGCGGCUACUCUAAUAUAGCAUUUGACAAGCCUAUGUAAUGCAACUGUAUACUGUGACAGUCGCUGAUAAGUAUGUAAUUCAUCUAUUUUGGGAAUAUAAUUAAAAAAGUUAGAGCCUCGGUACUACCAGUUUCCUAUAAAUGCAUAAAAAUCCGCAAUCUACUAGUAACUCUCAGAAGCGGCUGCGAUUAUAAAUAAAUAAGAUAAAAUGAAAAAAGAAGAGGUCGUUUACAUUGGACCAAAAUGUUUGACCACUUACUGGGCUCGCU